GCGGCUGGCAGCUGCGCGGCUACCCCACCGCGCCCGGGGCGAAGGCCCUUUCACGGGACGCGGCAAGCCGCGGAACUGACGGGUGGCGGCCGCACGGCGGUUCCGCUGCUCGCCGCGUCCUGGAGCGAACGUUACCUCAAAAGCCGAAAUGACGCCGCACUUUACACCGAGGCGGGAGCAGGAACUAUUCUUUUUUGAGCGGAGGCUUCACAGGGGGGUAAGCGAGAAUGAAUGGAAGAAAGUCACGUAAAAGGAGGAAAUUUGUGCGUUAAUCCCGCCUCUUGAUUUCGUGUAAGGCCUCGGCUUGAAUGAAGAAAAUGAUGGCGUUAUUGACCAACUAUUAAAUAUGUGAGAUUCUUGCUGGUGCAGAUGGCCAGCUUUGUAAUAGAGAAGUUGAAGGAAAGGCAGCUUGAUACCUUGGUUAAAACCUUUGAAGAUAUCACAAGACUUCAGGAAGCUACAUCCAGAGGCAGACUUUUUGAAGACUGGGCUACAAUUGCAGACCAAAUUGUUGCCUAUGCCCAGCAAGAUGGAAAGGUGCAUUAAGAGCUGGGUGACAUGACUUCAGAUGCUAAAGGGAAGAGUGCUUUCAAAGUCCUGCCCAUUCUGGAGGAAGGGUCCACAGAACCACAACCACAGAAUUCUGGAAGCCAUUUAUUGACAUACAACCUGCCUAAGUGUCUUCAAGACUAAGUGUCGUAUAAUUAACAAGUGGGGACCAGCAUGGUGGAUUUGUGUCUUGGGGACGAGACAACGACAUCCCAGACCUUCACCAUUGUUUCGGGCCAUGCCACUGAAGCGGACUCGUUGCCAGGGAAUUUCUCCGGCUUGCAGUAUAUUAUAUUGAUGGACAAGUCUUCAUGUGUGAAUUUUUUAAGGCCAAAAGUUUUUUCUGGCCACUUGUAAUAUGUUUUAAAUUGUCAUAUGUAUUGUCUGGUGGACACUUUGUUUGGCUUAGUUUUAAUAGCACAAUGUUUGGACCGAUUUUCAUGUGGCAAUAAUUAAUUUUUGAGUGUUCUGCUGCUACAAUGUUGACAAAGAAUGGGAAUCUGCAGUGCCUAGUUUACACAGUUUUGUGUUUUAAAGUAACUGAUCUACUAAAAUUGUUGUUUUAUGUGUCUGUAAUGGUUGGAUAAAAUGUGUGACAGCUGCACCCAUUUGAAAAUUGUUUUAAAAAGAAAUAAAACUCAUUAAAUUAUUAUUUACAGUU